AAAAGUCAUUUCCUGGUUGGCAAGUUUCAGUUAAAAAGAAGCAGAACGGCAGAAUUCAAAUAUCGAGGUGCCGAUGUCUCUGUGCUGGGUUUCGAGGUCUCAGGUCUCAAUGGUGCCUAUGUUCUUUGUUUCGGGGAAGUGGCCGAGGAGCAUGACUGCUCUGUGACUCACCCCGCCAUGCUGUGCCUGCAUCCACCAGCAGCCUUCAAGCUAAGUGACCAUGGGUUUUACAGAAGGAGUGCUGUUUCUUGAGCAUCAGCUCUCUAGAUCUUUUCCUCUCUCUUCUUGUUCUGCCCAAUAGAGCAAUACAGGCAAGGACACUGAAAUAUUGGCAAGGGCUAUUAAUUUUUGUCCCUUUUGUCCCUUCUGUUAGGGAAUUCUUCCUUAUUAACAUCAUUCCAGUUCUUCUUGAUGACUGCUAUUACACCUCUUGAUUUCCCCAUUGUUGAGGUAGCAUGUUCUGUACCCUCUUGGCUAUGUAAAUCCACUGAAGAAGGGUCAGAUUCAGGCUGUAUUAGAAUUUGUAUGCUACGGAUCUAGAGAAGACUCCCACUCAGUCCCCAACUUAAAUUUCAUCUUGCUGUUUGGCAGGUAUUGUCCUGGAAGGUGAGAAUUAUCACUAACCCAUGAAGAAGCAUGAUGGUCAAAAAGUGGGCUGAGGGCAAUGCAUGGAGGUGAUGGAAGAAUGAUGCUGGUUGUAUGUGGGUGACUCAGGGCUCUCCUGGUGUGCAGAGCACACAUCCCCAAUUCACUGUGCUGGUGGCUUAUGCUCUCCUCUAAAUGUACCUUAUGCAGACAUUAUAUUUCUCUUUUGAUAAUUUGAUAACUCUUUUGAUGGGCUUGAUAUUCGACUGCACAGAUAAGUGCAGCUUAUAGUUUCUUCUCUCUGUUCUUAGGACAACAGUGGAGGGUGAAUAUUCUUGUUUUUUAAUUGGAUUUUUUAUUUACAUUUCAAAUGUUAUCCCCUUUCUCAGUUUCCCUUCUAUAACCCACCUACCCCAUGCCUCUCCCCUGCUUCUAUGAGGGUGUUCCCCCUCCCCAACCACCCCUGCUCCUGCCCUGACAUUCCCCUACACUGGGAGGUUCAGCCUUGGCAGGACCAAGGGCUUCUCCUCCCAUUGGUGCCAAACUAUCUUUUGCUACAUUUGCAGCUGGAGCCAUGGAUCUGUCCGUGCAUACUCUUUAGUUGGUGGUUUAGUGCCUGGGAGCUCUGGUUGGUUGAUAUUGUUGUUCUUCUUAAGGGGUUGCAAACCCCUUCAGUUCCAUCAGUCCUUUCUCUAACUCCUCCAUUAGGGACCCUGUACUGAGUCCAAUGGUUGGCUGUGAGCACCUGCCUCUGUAUUUGUCAUGCUGUGACAGAUCCUCUCAGGAGACAGCUAUAUCAGGCUCCUGUCAUCAUGUUCUUCUUGGCAUCAGCAAUAUUGUCUGUGUUUGGUGGCUGUAUAUGGGCUGGAUCCCCAGGUGGGGCAGUAUCUGGAUGGCCUUUCCUUCAGUCUCUGCUCCAAACUUUGUCUACCUAUCUCCUCCUAUGAUUAGUUCUCUCUUCUAAGAAGGACUGAAGCAUCUACACUUUGGUAGUCCUUCUUGAGCUUCAUAUGAUCUGUGGACUGUAUCUUAGCUUUUGGGCUAAUCUACUUAUCAGUGAUUGCAUACCAUGUGUGUUUUUUUGUGAUUGGGUUACUUCAUUCAGGAUGACAUUUUCUAGUUCCAUCCAUUUGCCUAUGAUUUCAUGAAGUCAUUGUUUUUAAUAGCUGAGUAAUACUCCAUUGUGUAAAUGUACCACAUUUUCUAUAUCCAUUCCUCUGUUGAAGGGCAUCUGGGUUCUCUCCAGCUUCUGUUUAUUAUAAAUAAGACGUCUAUGAACAUAGUAGAGCAUGUGUCCUUGUUAUACAUUGGAGCAUCUUUUGGGUAUAUGCCCAGGAGAGGUAUAGCUGGGUCCUCAGGUAGUACUAUGUCCAAUUUUCUGAGGAACCUCCAGACUGAUUUCCAGAGUGGUUGUACCAGCUUGCAAUCCCACCAACAAUGGAGGAAUGUUCCUCUUUCUCCACAUCCUCGCCAGCAUCUGUUGUCACCUGAGUUUUUUAUCUUAGCCAUUCUGACUGGUGUGAGGUGGAAUCUCAGGGUUGUUUUGAUUUGCAUUUUUCCUGAUGACUAAAGAUGUUGAAAAUUUCUUUAGGUGCUUCUCAGCCAUUCUAUAUUCUUCAUUUGAGAAUUCUUUGUUUAGCUCUGUACCCCAUUUUUAAUAGGGUUAUUUGAUUCUCUGGAGUCUAUCUUCUUGAGUUCUUUGUAUAUAUUGGAUAUUAGUCCUCUAUCAGAGUAGGAUUGAUAAAGAUCUUUUUCCAAUCUGUUGGUUGUUCUUUUGUCUGGGGGAAUCACCAUCCCUGACCUCAAACUGUAUUACAGAGCAAUAGUGAUAAAAACUGUAUGGUAUUGGUACAGAGACAGUCAGUUAGAUCAAUGGCAUAGAAUUGAAGACCCAGAAAUGAACCCACAUGCCUAUGGUUACUUAAUCUUUGACAAAGGAGCCAAAACCAUCCAGUAGAAAGAUAGCAUUUUCAACAAAUGGUGCUGGUUCAACUGGAGGUCAGCAUGUAGAAGAAUGCAGAUCGAUCCAUGCUUAUCAUCCUGUACAAAGCUUAAGUCCAAGUGGAUCAAGGACCUCCUCAUCAAACCUGAUACACUCAAACUAAUAGAAGAAAGAGUGGGGGAAGAUCCUUAAACACAUGGGCACUGAGGAAAAUUUCCUGAACAGAACACUAAUGGCUUAUGUUCUAAGAUCAAGAGUCAACAAAUGGGAUCUCAUAAAAUUGCGAAGCUCAUAUAAGGUAGAGGGUAAAUAUUCUUGUUGCUCCCUUUGUGCACAUGGGGAAAGAAACCUAAGAGAAAUGAAGUAACAGUAGUAAAUGGUAAAGGAAUCUGUACUCAAAUAUACCUUUGGUACCAAAGCCUGACUUUUUGCCACUAAAUUUUGCUGCUUCCAUUGGUGGUAAAGGUUUAACAAACUCAAAUGAUGCAUCAUUUUUUUUUGCUACAACUAAUAUCCAAGUCCAGGUAGUAUAUAAAGAGAGAUCUUUUGAGCACUUGCCCUUUCAGUUGGAUGUCUGACUGGGCAGCCUUGUCUAUUUGUCUUCUGGUGAGAUCCCCCUUGCUGUGUCUCUUAGUGAUUAGUGUCAUGAUGUGAAAACAUGCAAGUUGAGUGAUUAUGUAGUCAUAUAGGAAACCAAAGAGGAAGCAAGUCAUUCUUUUAUGUAACCACCCUUUUAGAACUAAACAGGGCUCCAAAAGAACUACAUUAAUUUCUUCUGUGGACAGUAUAUGGUGUCACUUUGCAUUGGGCACAUUUACCACUGUUACAUUAAGGAAUGAACUUCCAGCACAUGAUCCCCUGGGGAAGCAGUCAUGUCCAAACCAUACCCUCCUUUAAAUUAGUGAUGAGCUGUAGCUCCUUCGUAGGCACUUAUACGAGCACAUUGUACAUAACUUUGCCCAACUUCACGAGCAGCAAGGUUUUGAUGAAGAUUGACUCUAGCAUUAAUCUUCACCCCAGUUGCUACAAAUCUGCUCGCUCUUCUGUAAAACCUGUCAUUAAACAUAUACCUGCACACCAUGCCCCUGAACUCCAGGUUUUUUGUGUAAUAAAGCAAUAUUGUUUCCCUACAUGUUGCUUUCCUAUAAAUUAAAGCACUUUUUCUUUUAUUUUUAGUGUUUCUAUUACCAUGUAUGGAUUAUAUAUAAUACCUUUCAUUGAAACAUUUCCAGACAUGUAAAUGAGGUAUUUUGAUCAUAAUCAACCCAACUACCCUUCCAUUGCCCUUCAGAGCUCUGCUAACACCUUUGCUCUUCCCAAUCACACAUGGUUCUACUUUCAUGUAUUUUUUACAUCACCCUAGAAGCUACAAGCUUCACUGAGGUGAAACAUCUUGUUUGUGGCUAAACAACUGAAGAAAUUUUCUCUCUUCUGUUAUUUGCACUCUGUAUAUAAACUCUCACAGAGGGGUAGCAACCCAUGACCCUUUCCCCUUUCCUUGACAAAUUGUGAUAGACCUAUCAUUAGGAGACUGUGUGUAAAUAAAAACAGAUGCUCUGAGUUCGUGAUGCCAACAGCCAUGCCAUACUUAGAAGUCAGCAUUUCACACAACUCCUCAUUUCUUUUGCUCUUGUUCUUUGUCUCUUCUUAUGCAGUGUUUCCUCAGUCUUGAAAUGGGUUAUAAAUAUGUCCCACUUAAAGCUGUGUAUUCAAAAGUCAUUUAUUAUCUUUACUUCGAAUAGUUAUGAGUCUCUGUAGUCAUUGUUGUGUGGACUAUGGCAAAAAGGAGCUUCUUGUAUCAAAGCUAAUAGCAGAUUUAUUCUUUGGGCAUAAAAUUUUGUAGAAGGCAAUUUAAUAGCUACAUCACAUUCACUUAAGGAAACAACAACAGUAGUUUCCUCAUUAAGGCCUGUAACACUACCAGCUAAAGUGUUUUGUCUUGGUUUGCAGCAGUGGAUUGUAGUUCCUUCCUUUGGAGUAGGCAUAAUCCAACUAGAAAACAUUUGGUCACUCUCACAACAGACUUGACACACUAGUGUAACAGUGGGUUCAUUUUCUGUGCCUCUUCAGAUUGGUGUACACAUGGUUCAUAGCUGAGUAAGACUGUCUAUGAUAAUUCUCUCCCAGAAGCCUGCACAGCUUCUGAAAUAAUGAGGGCUAGACAGUGUGGAGGAAGUGUCCAGUGAACUUGAUUUCUCUUUGCCUUGUAAUAAAGGCAUUUGGCAUCUUCAGCAAUAGGAUCUCACCAUCCAGUUUUGCUGACAAUCAACAGUGGUAUUGUCUGUAUUAUUUUAGGAGCGUUGGGGACUUCUCUGAUAAACAGUUUGUAGGGAGACAGAUAACAACCAGGACUGGGAUUUUUUACUUAACAACCUACAGCUUCUAGAAGCAGCUUUAUCCACUCACAAAGGAUACGCUCAUUCAAACGUUAAAAAAAUACUGUAUUUGGUCAGCAUACUACUAACCAUAUUCCUGUAUGGCUUUUUUUCAUACAUCAUUAGGUUUGGUUGACCCUCCCCCAUUUCCUCCUCAUUCUAUCUUCCUAUCCAACUUGCCACAUAAACCUGUCUGCAAUAUUCCUCCUUCCACUAUUAUAACAUUUAAUACAACCCACCUACUUUUUUUAUUGGUCCAAUGCCUGAACAUUCAUUUCAUUAAUUAAUAUAUGUAUUUAUAUAUUAUUCAAGCUUUUAUGAGAAAGAAUUCAUUAAAAUGUCUACUAGGAGCCCGAUUUUCUCUUUAACCACCGGUUUAUUAUGACAUUUGUUAAGAUGUAUUUAUAAAUCAUCCUCAUUCACUAUUUAGAGUUCCAUCACUGUAACAAAAUCCCUGACAAAAUUAACUUAAAGGAGGAAAGGUUUAAUUUGGCUUGUGGUUUCAGUCUGUUAUUCGCUAGCUCACUUCUCUGGUCUUUCGGCAAGACAGAAGUAUCACCUCAUGGUGGUUGGGAAGCACAGACAGUUAGGGAAGGGUUGGAAACAGUCUGUACUCUUCCUGGGCAUACCUCCGUGACACUUUUCCUUCAACUAAGGGUAGCUUCUACUUUCCACCUCCUGCCAAUAACAUUAUUAAAUUGUGAAUGCACCAAUGGGUGAGGAUGUCAAUAAAUAAAUUCAUAAAGAAUACUCAACAUUCUAUUAUAUACUAAGUUGCCACCUGUCUUAGUCAGAGCUUUAUUGUUGUGAAAAGACACCAUGAUUGUGGCAAGACUUAUAAAGGAUAACAUUCAAUUGGGGUUGGUCUACAGUUCAGAGGUUCUGUUCUUUAUUAUCGUAGUGGGAAACCUGGCAGCAUGCAGACAGACAUAGGGCUGGAGGAGCUGGGAGUUCUACAUCUUAAUCUACAGGCAGGAAAAGGAGAUUAUGUGUCACACUGGCAUAGCUUGAAUAUAGGAGACUUCAAAGUUUGCCUCCACGGUGACACACUUCCUUCAGCAAGGCUAUACGUACUCCAGAAAGGCCACACUUCCUGACAGCAUCACUCUCUAUGGCCUAUGGGGACCAAUUGCAUUCAAACUACGACUACACCACCUCUGAAUGCGACUUUAGAAAGGACCAAAGCUUCCGAGAUACAUGAUGUACCAGAGAGAAUUUCAGGUACUACCAAUGACAAUUAUAGGUGUUUUACAUAAUUUCUUUUCUAAAAUUUGGUUUUGAUAAACUUGGAUGUAUCUGUGUCUCUACUUGCUAUGCCCUGUCUCAAGAACAUGUUUUAAACAUGACUAGAGGGUGCUUACUUUCCCUCACUAAUUUCCUAUAAUUAGUUUAAACUUAGUACUUACAACCCACAUUUUCUUCAGUGAAUCUUAUCCUCUGUUUAGCACUCUCUACUUGUUUUAUUAUUUUGUUUAAUAAUUUAUUUAUUAUUAAAGAAGAGUGGGCUAGUAAUGGACAAUAAGUAGUGAGCCUUCAACAACUAUGUAAGACUCAAAGGUAGAGUUUGAGUGAGAGAAUUUGUUAUUUACAACACAACAAAUAAUAAGAACAUUGAUUAUACCAUUAAUUUUUCCUGGUCCUCAAGCCUUAGAAGCAAUUCAGUGGGCCCAGUAGUACUAGGUUGGUCAACAGGAAAAGAACAUAAAGUAGAGAGUUGAGCUCUUUACAUAAAAAUAGAAACUAAAUGGCAGCUCCUCUUCUACCCUGGGAAGCAACAGUCACCUUGCAAUCCCUUUGAAGUUGCUUGAUCUUUAUUUUCCUGAGAAUAGCUAUGGAAGUUGCCUAACAAUAAAGGGAAGUCAAGCUUUGAUACGCCCAACAAGGAUGCUCAGGAAUCCACAGGACUCACUGUGGACACACUCUCCACAGUCUGCCCACUUUUUUAACAGUCUUAACUCAAUGCCUAUUUCAUGUUGCUGAAUAGCUCUGAUGGUAUAGCAGGAGUUAGGACCCAUUAAUUCAAUUUGUUUGUGUAUUACUUAAGAAUGUCGUCAGUAAGACUGUGAUCACUAUGAUGAAACCAGUAUUCAGUAUUAGUUUUAGCCAUGUGCAUAGCAUCCUUGACCCAACCUGCUGAAUUUCCUCUAGAGAGAUCUAGUAAGGUUUACCUCAGAUGGUUGUUUAGGUUCUUUUCCUAGAACAAAGUAGAGAGUUGUGACUGACAGUAUUAAUGUAAAUACAACAUGGGGUAAAAUUCGACAUACAGUCUUCCACAGUCAGUCAUAAAGCAGUUCCAUGCCUGUCUACUGUCUUUUAUGACCCAUUCAAGUUGAUAUUAACCUACUGAUGGCUAGGUUUCUCUCUCACUGUCUCUUAAUGCUAAGUUUAAGGAAGGGUUUAUAAUUGUCAUAUCUCUGGACUUUAAUAUGGAACCAGGAGUCAGCAUGAUACUGAAGGAAUAUCAUCAUUUACCUGGUGCCCGGAUUACAGGAAGGAUUAAUGUCAGUUCUAAAAAUUGCAGUGGAUAGCAGGUGGGCCAAACAUCAACCUUCAUCCAGAGCUGAAUGGUCUACAUCACACUGUCCUUCACAUUAUACCCAUGACUAAAAUGGAAAUGAUGCUCCAGCUAAGUAUUUCUUGAUAAACUUCACUUUAGUUACAAUAUAUGUGGGUUUGUUUAAGUCUUGUGCAUAAUGCUAGGCAGAGACUCAAUUGCUAUACAUAUGAAACCCACAUUGCUUAGACCUCACAAGACACAUACGAAUGAGUCACUGUUGUGGAAGAUUGUUAGUCCCUGUAGGGCUGUGUAUGGGGGGAGGCAGAACCACACUAGGAACUGUUGACAAUAUUCUCAAGCCAACAAAAUGACUCACAGAUGUCCCUGUUGGCAUCACAUCUGGAUAAAGACGAUAAAUUCAGUAGUGAGUCACUUAAUUGGUAUAGCAGCCAAUUGACUUGGGAAGGACAUGUGACUGCUUUGCCAAGCUCUGGGACCAAAUAUAGGGGAAAAGAGAUGUACUUAUCUGAACAUCUAGAUUAUGCUUGGAAUCUGAAAAGUUCCCCGCAGCCCAUAUUUUGAACACUUGAAGUGCUGGUUUGAAAGCUGUGGAGCCUUUAGGAGGUGGGUCCUGGUGGCCAGAAAUGGGUUUCUAUAGGUGCCUUUCAGAUGUUAUAUUUUGUCCUGGUUCUAGUCUAGCCUUCUUUGUUUCCUGAUCAUUAGCUCUGCUGUACACUGUCACCAAUGUGGAUGAAGAUAAUCUGCCAUGACUUCUCCAACAUAAAGCCUGAGAUGUCUGAAACGAACCCAGAUGAGCAUUUUCUCCCAGAAAACUUUUUUUGGAGUCAGGCACUGAGUCAUACUGUUGUAAAAGUAGUGAACGUAGAUCCUUUCAACACUCGUCAGGAGCUGACCCUGCUGCCUUAGAUAUUAGAGCUUGUUUUCUCUCUUCAUAGUCACAUAGCUUAUUCUAAUCUAAUGGUCACUUCUCCCUUUUCCCAGACUAAGGGGCCAAUAAUGUGAAAUGUAGUGAUGCAGGUGACCCGGCCACUAUUUUAUUAGGCCAUUGUGGGGGACUACGAGGUCUAAAAAUUCUACAGGUAGCUCAUUCUAAUGAUCUGUGUUGUUCUUUGUCCAAUAAGUGGUGUUAAGAAGUUCAAGCAACAGAUUGGAGUGUCCUGCACCAUAGAUAAAGCUAGGCCGCCAGUCUAUACAAUGUGAGAAAAGACAGGAAAACAGGCUGUGUAUUGUCAGAAUGUUAGAAUCACAGAUAUGCAGAGGCUAUCCCUAUCCUGUUCUCGGCCUCUUCUGUCCUGAUUCCCCGAAGCUGUACAUCUUCCCUCUUUUUAGAGCAGCUACAUUUCCUACACUUACUGUCUGCAUAAGAUGCUAAUCCACGAACAGCAGGAUUUUCUAACCUGCACUUCUUUUUCAAUAAGCUAUUUAAGUAUCAUUAUGUCUUUUCAUGAUGCCAGUGGUCUUGAGAUUAUAAGAAUCUGAGGUUUCUAUUGGAUAUUAUGUUCAUUUUCCUACUGUUGAUGUUUUGUUGCUAGUAGGAUGCCAUUGUCUUAUUGAAAGUAGCUUGGAUAUCCCAAAGCAUUGUACACCUUAGUCUUCAAUGCUACCACAGUAGAACUGAUGCUGAAAGAACCAUUGAUGAUGGUUAGAUGCUCGUGGUAGGAGUAUCAGUGUGAUCUAUUGGCCAGGAGUAGGUGGACACCUUGAACUUCUUUACAAGAUUCUAUAGUUUCUGGACUUAGACAAAGCAGAGAGGUCUUAGAAUCAGGUCUAGCCUAUCUUCUCAUUAAAGAUGAGGUUUGGGAAGAAGUAAAGCAAUGGAGGUACCAAGGACAUACUUGGUUCUCAGGAAGCAUACUACUGUUUUAUUCAGUACAGUGAUGAUAAUCUCCAUGGAGGAAUAUGUCCCAGACUAGCCAUUGCAUGGCACCUUGAGUUUUUUCUAUAUGUCCUCUCUGAGGAUCAAUUUCCUAGUUAUUUUCAACUGAGCCCACUGACUCUUUAAAUGAUUCAAUUAAUUCUAUCAUGCUUUUUUGCUUUUUAAAGAAUGGUUCUUGAAUUAACUGGCAUAUUACAAGGAAAGAGGAAGGACGGGCUGUGGGAAGAACUCUAGCACUGAGCUGGGUGAAUGCCAAAUCCAGAGUGUGUAUUGUAAGAGCUAUGUGAGGAGAACAGGCCUAUACAAUAGUCUGGUCCAAUGGACACCUCUGGCGGAGCCACGGUCUGGAAAACCAUAUCAGCAGAAAGUCUCCACCUGAAUAUUUGUUCACUACGUUCAGAGAAUGAUUGAUUACCUCUUUUGUCAAAAUUGGAUGUUUUCAAGUGUUUAUUUUGGAGAGAGAGGGAAGGGGGAGAAAUAGCUUGCUUAUGGAGUUGAAUUGCUGGAUUUUUCAGCAGUCCUAACAAUGCUAGUCAAAAAUUUUUCUGUUUUCUGAGCUUUCAAAGCCACAACACGCACAUCAUAUGUGGUGUGUGUGUGUGUGUGUGUGUGUGUGUGUGUGUGUGCUGUGUUUAUGGGUCCUCUUUCCUCAUUCCUGAUAGAGACAAGGGAAGCUAUCCAUAAGGACUACUAUGGACUCAGUGGAGGCAAGAAGUGAUGUGGCAAAGUAGAGUCUUCCUGUCAGUGACAGUAUCCAGGGAAAUAUGUGGCACCAACAUGUGGAAUGGAAAUCUAGGCAGAAUGUGGACAUUUUGAUACAUUUCAGCUUUUUCUGAAUCUAGAAUUAUCAUGAGAGCACAACUCCCAAUGAUUCAAAUUAAAUGAGAUGUCAAAAUUAAUAUAUUUAUCAUUAGAAUAUUAAGUGAUUAUUAAAGUUAGGAUUAUGAUAGCUUUGUGAUAGCAUACAUGUUUAUAGUACAUGGCUAAGUUGUUAUAUACAAGUUAUGUUGAUUUAAAUAUACAUUACAUAAAAAGAUACAGCAAAGUAAAAUAGUGUCAAGGUUUGCUACCUCUAUUUUACUUAUUUUUAAAUAUUUUUGAUGAGGUCAAGUCAAUUUUCAAAACACUUUAAUUAGAAAAAUGAAUAAGAAUAAAUUAACCAUACCUAAAUAUAAACUUCUUUCUGAUAGAUAUGCUAAUUUAUUUAUGGCAAUUUUAACAUUAUUUGGCCCUUCCUCCACCUUGAGAAAGGCAUAUUUGGAGUUUGGAUUCUCCACAAACAAAGCUAACAGGAUCUGCCAAUAUUUAAUGAAAUUUCUGUGUUGAUGCAAAAAUCACAACUCUCAUCUUAAAGGAAACAUAAAACUGUGUAUUCUGGAACCAUUUUGAAUGACCAUAACCUGAGAAUGCAGAUUUAGGAACCAAAAUUCCAUGUUUUGAUGUGGAAGCAGUUUCAUGAAGGUUUAUUGUUUUACAGAACAAAGAAAUUUAUAAAUCAAGGCAAGUUCAAACUACACUAGUGGGUACACCAGAGAGGCCAGUAAAGCAUGAUGAGCUGAGAGGAGCUAGUCUAUAGGCCCAAGAUGAGAUUCUUAGCUUUGGAGUUGCUAUAAGUCAGUGAUCUGCUGAAUUAAUAGAUUCCAAAAAGACACUGCCAGUAUGAAGUUUUAUAGCCAUUGGGCUGACUGAAAUCAGCCCAAUUUAUUCCAUGAGUAUUUGUGUUAAUAUGUAUUUUGUAAUUUGUAUUAACUCAAGUGUCCUUUGCAUUUUUGUCAAUUAUGCACAGAAUUCUAAAUCAAAUUUUAAGAGAACUCACCUUAUAAACUUUAGUCCAUGUUUUCAAGCAUCUACAUUUUCUUUUUUUUUAUUUUUUACAUUUUAUUUUUUUUAUUAACUUGAGUAUUUCUUAUAUACAUUUCAAGUGUUAUUCCCUUUCCCGGUAUCCGGGCAAGCAUCCCCCUCCCCCCUCCCCUUCCUUAUGGGUGUUCCCCUCCCAACCCUCCCCCCAUUG